UCUUCUAUUCUUAUGUGAUCACCUCUUUAGUACGUAUCUCUGCGAUCCCUGCACUCGCUAAGUAAUUGUGACUCUGUUCCUCUAUUCCUAUCUCUUGGGCAUUUCACAAGUAUUGCUUAGCUUUCAGGAUAGCUUUAGAUGUAGGAAUAUUGUUUCAGGUGAGGAGAGGGUAGUUGUGAGUUUGAGCUUGGUUGCCGGUUCUUGGCGUUAGGAAAGGCCUUAUUACAUGUCAUAUUAACCCCUCUUUUUCUGCUUUCCUGCGAGUGAGGGAAGUAACAAGGUGUGAUUGGUUUUAGUGAGACAGAUUAGGGUUUGCGUCGAACAGUUGAGUUCAGGGUUUGUUUUCGUCCUCUUAUUCUCUUAUGCACUUUGAGGAUCAUUAGUCAUAGGUUUAGGCUGUUGUGCACUGAUCUAUUGUAUGCUUGUUCAUAUGCUCAAUUGAGCGAGCAUUCACAGUAUUACUGGAGAGGUCAGCACUUCGUGAAGAGGGCCUGAGGCUUGUUUGAGUUUAGAUUAGUAAGGAUGGUAAUCGAUCCCAGAUUGAUGACUGGUAGAACAUCUUUGUACUUUUGAAACUGGUUCAGGUUUUAGAUGUGAUGAUUAUAUAGGAUAGUUUCACUUUCCAAAUUUCUACAUCUCGGAGUGGGAACAGAGACCAAGGCUUGUUCGUCGUUGGAUCGGUUUGUGUGCCUGGUCACCGAUCUUCAAUCGGCUUAGUUGUGGGGUGUCUCAGAUUGUUACUGCAUUCUGAACAGUCCUUUGUCCCCUCCUCUAAAGGCAGGAGUUGCUUGGGGAAUGUUUAUGGGAUCCUAUGAUGCUGUUAAAGAAGGUCAUCUCGGAGCAUCGCGGGCUUUGUACGUGUUGUAAACAGGCUGUUGCCGAUAGUUGAUGGCCUUCUUUUUCCACAGGCGAAGUCGAUAACGAGGAAUGGUCUGGGAUGGGGUUGUUUUGCAGGUGCAUAUUUGGGACUCAACUGUGGAGUUGAAUCCGUUAGAAAUAAAAAAGAUUGGGUGAAUGCAAGUAUAUCGGGGGCUAUAACUGGAGCUUUUGUGUCAGCUCGAACUGGGAAUGUUACAAAAAUGCUAGGCACUUCAGUUCUUGUAUCUGCAAUUGCAACUGCUGGAGAUUUUCUUCGGCCUGCUCAGUAUCCGCCUACUGGUAUAUGAAUGUAGAAUUUCGGACCUUGUGUAUUUCAUUGCAACACAAACUAAGCAGUACUACUCAUUCCCCCUGAAGCGCGGUGUCUCGACGACCUCUAAGAUGUUUGAUUUUGUGCUUACCAGGACGGUUACUAGUUGAUAGGAUCUGGCUGUAAGUAGUACAUUAGCUGUUAAACGGAGCUAAUACUUGAGUAAUUGUUAAACAGAGCUUAUCUUGGACCCUCGUAUUGUAAGAAACUCCAGUAGUGGCAAAACAUUUCUUUCCGUUGUGAGAAUCUCCUAUGCACUUUAAUAGUUAUCAACAUGACUAACUACUUUUUGUGUCUUUUUUUA